rnacentral:rRNA from 1 species
GAUGAACGCUGGCGGCGUGCCUAACACAUGCAAGUCGAACGGAGAGUCCGGACGGAUGUUUUCGGGUGGAAGCCGGUAAUUCUGAGUGGCGGACGGGGAUGUACCGCGUGUGCAACUUGCCUAAUACAGGGGGAUAGCAGCUGAAAACGGCUGGUAUGACGGAACACGUGGGUUAAUUGGCAUGAUCGGUUUGGGUAAUGAGCAUUCAGGUAUAGGAUGGGCCCGCGUCGGAUUAGCCAGUUGGCAGGUUAAAAGCCUACCAAAGCGACGAUCGGUAGCCGGACUGAGAGGUAGGACGGCCACAUUGGGACUGAGACACGGCCCAGACUCCUACGGGAGGCAGGAGUGGGGGAUAUUGCAAAAUGGAGGAAACUCUGAUGCAGCGACGCCGCGUGAGUGAAGAAGUAUUUCGGUAUGUAAAGCUCUAUCAGCAGGGAAGAUGAUGACGGUACCUGACUAAGAAGCCCCGGCUAACUACGUG